rnacentral:tRNA from 1 species
GGGAUCGGAGUGCGUAUGUUGUUGAUAUAUAUAGGCCCUACCGUUAAUCCAGUGGACUCAUAAUCCAUUGGUCGAAGGUUCGAGUCCUUCCGGGCCCACCA